rnacentral:rRNA from 1 species
AGAACAACGUACAACUCUUAUCGAUAAGCCAUUGGAGGGCAAGUCUGGUGCCAGCAGCCGCGGUAAUUCCAGCUCCAAUAGCGUAUAUUAACGUUGUUGCAGUUAAAAAGCUCGUAGUUGAAGUGAGGGAGUGUGUGGGUAUGAGAGCUAGUCUCAAGUACUCACAACCUCCCCCCUCCAAUCGGUGUAGUGGGGUAUUCAGUUAUUUCACUACUCCUUUGGUCGUUUACUGUGAGAAAAUUAGAGUGUUCAAAGCGGGCGUUUGUUUGAAUAGAUUAGCAUGGAAUAAUGAUUGAAGGCUUUCGUGUUCGAUUUGAUUGGUUUGUUCAUGGAAGCAAGGUUAAAAGGAACAGUUGGGGGUAUUCAUAU